CUGUGGUGCCAGGUCUGUUUAUGCUGUGGGCUGGUACCCCCGGCGUGGGCUGGGCGGGCGGGCCGCUAGGAGUCUCGUUUCACACCGCGGCAUGGCCGUCUGCCCUUUCCGCACCGAGGGGUGAAAAGAUCAGGAGCAGGUCAGCCGCGGGCCGCUCGUCAUCCUGGACUCCGUGGCAGGCAAAGAAGCGGUGGCAGAGUCAGAGAGUCGACUGCUUGACUGUCCCCCCUGGCUGUUUCUCCCGUCCUCUUCGCAUCCAGAUCUCUCAGCAGCGCGGCCUCCUUCUCCACUUCUCCCGCGCGCCAGGACCUUCGGCGGCUCCGCGGACUUCAAAGGGAACAAGGCAGGAAACCGUUGCUGUGACUACAAGUUGAGGGAUGACUUUUUAAUGGAAGGGGGAUUUCCCUAGCCAAAAGAUAGAGGCAGAACUAGUGCAAGAGCGUCAAGAGUCACACCUGGAGAUAACGGAGAGGUGUUUUGCGGGGAUAUUUUGUCUUGGAGCAUGGGAGAGCGAUUGGAAAGAGCUAACAGCAAUCAGCAGUGUCAAUGUCGUCAUCCACCCAGUGGGACGAGGUGGGGUGGGGGUGCUGGUCUUGACAAAUCUUUCUUAUGGUUUUGUCAGUGUGUUUGUUGUGGUGUGUGGAGUUGGAGUGUUUCCCAAGCAGCACACACUAUUUAAGUUUGGGUAUUGGGUGAGGCAGUUUCGGACAGGGAGACAGGAGUUCCCCCCUGAGCCCUCUCAUCUGUUUUUGCUUUUUGUUUUUCUGGGGCUGGGGAGGUGGUUCUGGAGUGGGGGUUUAGGGGAAAGCUUGUAUAGACAGUAAGGGAAGCAGACAAGUUGCACUGCAGGCAGUCACAUCCUACAUGGAGCACAGGUAACACUACUUUACACAUAGGGUGGUGGGUGGGGUGCACAAAACUGCCCAGCUACAUGGCUCUAGCAGAUUCCUUGGGGUCUUUCAAUUGGCAGCUGGACUUGAUCCUUGGAUCACGUUUAGAUUCUACACCAGGUGUCCUUCUCAUGGAUAUUCUUAUGUUGAUAUUCCAGUUUGAAAUUUGCACUAGUCCCAGCAAACUGGUUAUUGUUGGACGUCUCUUAAUGUACAGCAGGAGCCCCAGACAUGGGAAGAAUGGGCUGCUUUUAAGAUGUGAGAUAGCCGUGGCUUGUGUUAACAUACCGCGUGGUAAACAGGAUGACAUGUGUUUCACUUAGGGUAAAUAGCUUUUCCAGCAGCAGUGCGGAGAACUGCCUUGUUUGUCCCACUCACUGUUCAGUAAUGGAACAUAAAUGUUUGCUUGCACCCCUCCGCACACACCACCGCUGCCAGAUAAAAGGUAAACUUUUGACCCAUCUCUCACUGACAGGAUUGAGGAAGUACGAUACGCUCUGAAACUGAAGCGUGGCUUUCAAAACUGAGUCCAGCAUCUAAAAAUAAGUCGAGGCUUCAAGGAGUUCCUUUUCACUGGGCCUGAAGCCCAAGAAGUGUCCCUAGAUUCUAGCCAGAGCACUGGGGGUAGCCAGCAAAACCCAUAAGAAUGACAUCAGAACAAUUACAAAGUGCUUAAUACACGAUAUUAAUCAUCCUGACAAAUCGGAUAUGCAUGGCAGUGUUUUUCAUACAGCCUAGGUUCUUCCAGAUACAGUACAGUGACAACAUCUUAGAACAUUGCGACACUAGUAGCUACUAAGGCAUUUGAAAUGUGACAUUUCCCAAUUCCACUUACUUCCUUCAUUGUCCCACACGGGAAAUUCGCUUUGCAGGCAGAUGAAAAGACGAUGCACAAUACAUAACACAAACUCCAAAACAAAUUUAAAAAACAUAUGUGUCUGAAAUUCAAUUGAGCUCACGUCCGAAACUUUUAGUAAUCCUCACUGCCCAAAAUAAACAGAAAAACUGGGUAGUCAGUGAGUGAAAUAGUUAUCUAAGACACACAUGUGAUGAGAAUCAACAUAUGACAAUCAUUGUCAUUCUGAUUGAGCACUGGUGGGGAAUAAAAGGUUAACUUAGUUCUUGCGCUGGAUUUCAGGCAGUCUAUACAGACCCCCUGAUGGAAGAAGCUCAGAUUUGGUGUGCAAGGAGAGGUCAUGAUAGUCAAUGAUUGUAUUGGCCUUAAGCAAUACUUGUUUUGUUCUACAUGUGUGCCACUGUAGCUGUUGUGUUCCAAUAACAUUGCUGGCUACCUUCACUA